AUUGAACGCUGGCGGCAUGCCUUACACAUGCAAGUCGAACGGUAACAGGUUAAGCUGACGAGUGGCGAACGGGUGAGUAAUGUAUCGGAACGUGCCCAGUCGUGGGGGAUAACUGCUCGAAAGAGCAGCUAAUACCGCAUACGACCUGAGGGUGAAAGCGGGGGAUCGCAAGACCUCGCGCGAUUGGAGCGGCCGAUAUCAGAUUAGGUAGUUGGUGAGGUAAAGGCUCACCAAGCCGACGAUCUGUAGCUGGUCUGAGAGGACGACCAGCCACACUGGGACUGAGACACGGCCCAGACUCCUACGGGAGGCAGCAGUGGGGAAUGUUGGACAAUGGGCGCAAGCCUGAUCCAGCCAUGCCGCGUGCGGGAAGAAGGCCUUCGGGUUGUAAACCGCUUUUGUCAGGGAAGAAAAGGUUCUGGCUAAUACCUGGGACUCAUGACGGUACCUGAAGAAUAAGCACCGGCUAACUACGUG
rnacentral:rRNA from 1 species